rnacentral:lncRNA from 1 species
CGCGCUUGAGCGGACGCUGCCUACCGGUGGCCGGGCGGGAUGUAACCCGCUGCUGAGCUGGCAGCUCUGUGUCGCUAGGCUUCGGCCCGGCCGCCGCCGCACAUAAGCUGCGAGGAGGAGCUUUACGACUUCCCGGUCUUCGGGGCCGGGCGCAGCAAGGGCCAGACUCUGCGCUAGCAGGCGCUGCGCGCCAACCGGCCGGCACCUGUCGCAGAAGGUGCAACCGAUCGCACUGUCGCGCCGAAGCUCCUCAAUGGCCAGCGCCAGCUGCAGCCCCGGCCGCCCACUCGCCUCACCUGAGCCUGGGAGCUUGAAAAAUCACAUUUGAGAAGAGGAUUGGAUCCUAGCCAUAACAUAAAUAUAAGGGUGGAACCAAAGUUUUAAUCAAAGAAGGUGGUGUUCAGUUGCUGCUUACAAUAGUUGAUACCCCAGGAUUUGGAGAUGCAGUGGAUAACAGUAAUUGCUGGCAGCCUGUUAUCAAUUACAUUGAUAUUAAAUUUGAGGACUACCUAAAUGCAGAAUCGCGAGUGAACAGAUGUCAGAUGCCUGGUAACAGGGUGCAGUGUUGUUUAUACUUCAUUGCUCCUUCAGGACAUGGACCAUUACAUAACUGAAGACUCCCACCUUCAGGCAGGAUUGGGUAGUACGUGUUUGUAACUACCUGGCAUUGCCUUUUGUUGAGGAAGGGUAGAUGUCUACCCAAAUGGAAUAUUGAGUAUCAGAGACUUCAAAUGAUAACUUUUGUUUGUUUGGAGAAAAUCUUGAGGACGUGAUCACUGUACAAAAGCAUGGCAAAAUGAGGAAACCACUGACAGGUGAAGAAUUUGCACAAUGGAAAACCACCUUGACCAUCUCAUGACUUUAUACAGGAAUCGGAGACAUCCAAGGCCAUUCCAUUUCUAAAUCACACUUAUCCCUCAAUCAAGUCAGUGACUGGAUCAUCUCCUAAGGUUUCACCUGCUUUGCAUCAGGGCAGGGUUCCACUCCCAUUGCCCAGGCUGGAGUGCAGUGGCGUGAUCUUGGCUCACUGCAACCCCCUCCUCCCCUAUUCAAGCAAUUCUUCUGCCUCAGUCUUCUAAGUGGCUGGGACUACAAGCGCGUGCCACCACACCCGCGCUUAUAAUAGAAAAUAAUUUUUCUGUUUUUUUGUAGGGAUGGGGUUUCACCAUGUUGGCCAGGCUGGCCUCGAACUCCUGAGCUCAAGUGAUCAACCUGCCUCUGCCUCCCAAAGUGCUGGGAUUACAGGUGUAAGCCACCAUGCCCGGCCUCUGAUUUUUCUA